GAAGUGGCGGGCGGAGUCCCGGGUCGAGUCGUCGCCUCAGCCACCGCCGCCGCCGCCGCCGCCGCCGCCGCCGCCAGUGGCGAGACCCCGACCUGGCGGGUCAGCGCUGGGCGUGCGUGCGGGCAGGCGGGGGCGCUGACGAGGAGCAGGAAGAGGCUGCAGUGCCGGCGUGGGCGGCUGGCCGAGGCGGAGGCGCAGGAACGGGGCGGCGAGUCGUGAGAGGCUGCCGUCCUCACUCAGCAUUAUGGAUCCAAGCCUGUUGAGAGAAAGGGAGCUGUUCAAAAAACGAGCUCUUUCCACUCCUGUAGUAGAAAAACGUUCAGCAUCUUCUGAGUCAUCAUCUUCGAAAAAGAAGAAAACAAAGGUAGAACAUGGAGGAUCGUCAGGCUCUAAACAAAAUUCUGAUCAUAGCAAUGGAUCAUUUAACUUGAAAGCUCUGUCAGGAAGCUCUGGAUAUAAGUUUGGCGUUCUUGCUAAGAUUGUGAAUUACAUGAAGACACGGCAUCAGCGAGGAGAUACGCAUCCUCUAACCUUAGAUGAAAUUUUGUAUGAAACACAACAUUUAGAUAUUGGACUCAAGCAGAAACAAUGGCUAAUGACUGAGGCUUUAGUCAACAAUCCCAAAAUUGAAGUAAUAGAUGGGAAGUAUGCUUUCAAGCCCAAGUACAACGUGAGAGAUAAGAAGGCCCUACUUAGGCUCUUAGAUCAGCAUGACCAGCGAGGAUUAGGAGGGAUUCUUUUAGAAGACAUAGAAGAAGCACUGCCCAAUUCCCAGAAAGCUGUCAAGGCUUUGGGGGACCAGAUACUAUUUGUAAGUCGUCCCGAUAAGAAGAAAAUACUUUUCUUCAAUGAUAAGAGCUGUCAGUUUUCUGUGGAUGAAGAAUUUCAGAAACUGUGGAGGAGUGUCACUGUGGAUUCCAUGGACGAGGAGAAAAUUGAAGAAUAUCUGAAGCGACAGGGUAUUUCUUCCAUGCAGGAAUCUGGACCAAAGAAAGUGGCCCCUAUUCAGAGAAGGAAAAAGCCUGCUUCACAGAAAAAGCGACGCUUUAAGACUCAUAACGAACACUUGGCUGGAGUGCUGAAGGAUUACUCUGACAUUACUUCCGGCAAAUAGGGAACAGCUUUGCCCUGGAACAGAGUCACAGAUACACAAUCAAGAGCGUUCCUGCUGAUGCUCGGGGUCUGAAGACAGUCUUCCCAUCUGCUGCUUGUGGCUGCGGAGAGGAGCA